rnacentral:tRNA from 1 species
AUUUAAGUAACUUAUAUUUAGAGUAGGACACUGAAGAUGUCAAUGAGAUAUUAUUAUCCUUAAAUA